AUUUCUGCUUAUAACUACUUAAACUCACUAGAAUCUGUUGCAGUCCUGCAGAGAAAAGCACAGAAUUUUUCUCAACAGGUAUACUCAGCAUUUACAGACUUUUUUUGCUGUGAUUGUGAACUUAUCCAAGGACAGAGGAUUUGUAAAAACUCAUCCAAUUCAAGAGGACCUAUGGAAACUUUCUCUGGGCCGCAGGAGACCAUUUGAAGCCUGAAUGAAAGCUCUGGAUUCUCCCUAUGGAAAGUUUACACACAUGCACAUACGUACAAGCCCUGACAUCUGAUUUCAAGGACCUUGUGACAACACAUUUGUAGACUCCUUAAGAAGCCUGUGAAAGCCCAGGUCUGUGUUAUUCUCCGGCGAUGUCGGGCGAUGUGGCCUCCUCCCUCAAGGACUUUCAAAUCUACCUGGCUAAGGACACUCAGGACUCCUACAACAGCCCCACAAGGAAGGGAGCACAGGCCAUCAUUAUUUAAAAAAAAAAAAAAAAAAAAAAACCUGAAGCUCAAUGCUGUUAAAUGAUUUAUCCGAAUCCUGUAACUGUUAACACC